rnacentral:rRNA from 1 species
UGGCGGGCGCUUACACAUGCAAGUCGCACGAGAAAGGGAGCAAUCCUAAGUAAAGUGGCGCACGGGUGAGUAACACGUGGAUCAUCUACCUUUUAGUGGGGAAUACCUCUGGGAAACCGGAGACAAUACCGCAUAAGCUCGUAAGAGGAAAGCAGCAAUGCGCUGAAAGAGGAGUCCGCGGCUGAUUAGCUAGUUGGUGAGGUAAUGGCCCACCAAGGCGAAGAUCGGUAGCCGGCCUGAGAGGGCACACGGCCACACUGGCACUGAAACACGGGCCAGACUCCUACGGGAGGCAGCAGUGGGGAAUCUUGCACAAUGGAGGAAACUCUGAUGCAGCGACGCCGCGUGAGCGAUGAAGCCCUUCGGGGUGUAAAGCUCUUUCGACGGGAACGAUAAUGACGGUACCCGGAGAAGAA